rnacentral:sRNA from 1 species
UGGACAGGGGGGUUCCUGCCGACCGGCAGGGCCUGUCCGAACGGGCCGCGCGGACGCCUGCGCCGAGCGGCACGGUGGUUGUCGCUCGGGGGUGAUCGCCG